UUGGAUCGGAUUAAUGGUUUGGUUCGGUUUUUGCUCACCCCUAGGCGGAACCACGGGAGGGUCAGCUCCUCGCCGGAGAAAAACGAGGGAACGGUGCUACUCUACCGGUCGUCGUCUUCGUUUCGACCCCCCAGGCCAUAGCAGAUAGAGAUUUGCUGCAGGCGACGGCCGUACGUCUCUCACAAGUUGCAGCGCUGCAACUCUAAUACGGCCGGGCGUCUUUCGCAUAAUCUCAAUCUAUGAUAUGAGAUUUUGAUUUCAGAUUAUGAGGUCUAUACCAAUUGUCAUUCGCUGUGUUGAUCUUUGUUGUGAUUGUUUCUCCUUAUUUGCGUAUUAAGAUUUGAUGGAAUCUUAUUUUUGGAGUGGAUCACUUCUGUUACUUGUGGAAACAAUAAAUAUUCUGCUAUGCUCACUAUAUGUUGGAUAAAAAUCCUCAAUGAAAACUGUAUUCAUUUAAGUGAUGUUAUGGUGGUUAUGAUUGAUAAAGAAUGAUAUAAGUUGAAGCUUGUGGAGGAAGUUAAACAUGAAUAAUUUGAGGUUUAUGUCAACCAAAUUGCUUGAAAAGGGAGCAUUAUGAAUAUUGUGAGCCUGUGAUUGCUUAAUGAUGAUAAUUUUGGUGGAUUGGAGAUUCAAAGCUAUACUGGUGCAAUACAUGGAGCUAGUGUGAGAUUAGUUUCAUUUCUAGAAAUAAGAUUGCUGCUGCUGCAAAACUGCUGCAUAUUCUGCUGUUAAAUUCUCACUCUUCCCCCUAUUAGCAACGGCUAUGGGACUAUGUGCUUGUUUUCAGUAUGGCUUAUCAGCUUGCAGUAUUUGAUUUUGGUGUAUUAUAUUUGGUCUCUUCUACAUUGGAUUUGUAACAUUAAUCUGGAACAAUGAAGUUUUCAUGGUGUUGGAAGAUAUGGUAGCUUGAAAACUCUGUUUAGUGCAAGGUCUGCUGCAAAUUUACUUCCUUAUCAAGUUAGACAUAUUGAAUACAUAUGAUGAGUAGGACCAAAGUAACCAAAACUUUCUGUCAGUGGAAGCCGAAGGUAAAAAUUUCGACCCUCCUGAGGUUGAGUCCUGGUUCCGCCCCUGCGUGUGUCCGUCCGUCACUGCAAGUUGCUAUCCUGGAAUGUUAUUGCUGCUAAUAGUUGCAGCCUUUGCAAUCAGCAUCCUAAAAGCAUUGAUCAUCUGCUUUUUACUUGUGGUUUCUCUGCAGCAAUCUGGUGUACAGUUCUUCAUUAGGCAGGGUUCAUAAGGAAUCCGCUUUCUUGGAAUAAUAUAUAUAGGACUGAAUGAACAACGCUAGACAAGUUUUUUUCUACCUAAUUUGUUCAAAUACAUUUAGGAGUCUGGUGCAAUUCUAACUUCAAACAUCAAUGCUAAACCUGUAGAAUCCGAUAGUAGUCAGUGUCGCGGCCUAAAAAAUGCUGUUUUGCCAUUUUAGCAUUUGUGUUUCCUUAUAGAUAUGCAUAUUAUGAGACAAAUGUUACUAUAUCUGAAAAUGCCUUUUCCUUCUCACUUUAAAAA